AUGCGGUAUGACGGUACCCUUUCGAAUAAGAGGUUGCUAACUCUGUGCCAGCAGCAGCGGUAAUACAGAGACCUCGAGCGUUAUCCGGAUUUACUGGGCGUAAAGCGUCUGUAGGGGGUUUGUUAAGUUCCAAGUAAAAUCUUAAGGCUCAACUUUAAGUUCGCUUGGAAAACUAAUAAACUGGAGUCCAGCAGAGGUGCAUGGAACUUGCGGUGUAGGAGUGAAAUCCGUUGAUAUCGCAAGGAACACCAAAGGCGAAGGCAUUGCACUGGGCUGGUACUGACCCUGAGAGACGAAAGCGUGGGGAGCAAAACGGAUUAGAUACCCGUGUAGUCCACGCCGUAAACGAUGGAUACUAGAUGUUCGGGGAUUCGACCCCCUGGGUGUCACAGCUAACGCGUUAAGUAUCCCGCCUGGGAAGUACGGCCGCAAGGCUAAAACUCAAAGGAAUAGACGGGGAUCCGCACAAGCGGUGGAGCGUCUGGUUUAAUUUGAUAGUAAGCAAUGGACCUCACCAAGGUUUGACAUCCUAUGACAACCCUGGAAACAGGGCUUCCUUCGGGCAUAGUGACAGGUGCUGCAUGGUCGUCGUCAGUUCGUGCCGUGAGGUGUUCCGUUAAGUCGGGAAACGAACGAAACCCUCGUCGCAUGUUACAAAUUUCAUGCGAGACUGCCCGGGCCAACCGGGAGGAAGGCGGGGAUGACGUCAGAUCAGCAUGGCCCUUAUACCUUGGGCUACACAGGCGCUACAAUGGCCGGUACAAAGGGUUGCAAAACCGCGAGGUGAAGCUAAUCCCAUAAAGCCGGUCCAAGUUCGGAUUGGAGGCUGCAACUCGCCUCCAUGAAGUUGGAAUCGCUAGUAAUCGUGGAUCAGCCAUACCACGGUGAUACGUUCCCGGAUCUUGUACUCACCGCCCGUCACACCAAGAGAGUUGGUAGCUCCUGAAGC
rnacentral:rRNA from 1 species